AUACGUAGGGAGCGAGCGUUGUCCGGAAUUACUGGGUGUAAAGGGAGCGUAGGCGGGAGUGCAAGUCAGAUGUGAAAUACAUGGGCUCAACCCAUGGGCUGCAUUUGAAACUGCAUUUCUUGAGUGAAGUAGAGGUAAGCGGAAUUCCUGGUGUAGCGGUGAAAUGCGUAGAUAUCAGGAGGAACACCGGUGGCGAAGGCGGCUUACUGGGCUUUUACUGACGCUGAGGCUCGAAAGCGUGGGGAGCAAACAGGAUUAGAUACCCUGGUAGUCCACGCUGUAAACGAUGAUUACUAGGUGUGGGGGGACUGACCCCUUCCGUGCCGCAGUUAACACAAUAAGUAAUCCACCUGGGGAGUACGGCCGCAAGGUUGAAACUUAAAUGAAUUGACGGGG
rnacentral:rRNA from 1 species